GAUGAACGCUGGCGGCGUGCCUAAUACAUGCAAGUCGAGCGAACAGACGAGGAGCUUGCUCCUCUGACGUUAGCGGCGGACGGGUGAGUAACACGUGGAUAACCUACCUAUAAGACUGGGAUAACUUCGGGAAACCGGAGCUAAUACCGGAUAAUAUAUUGAACCGCAUGGUUCAAUAGUGAAAGACGGUUUUGCUGUCACUUAUAGAUGGAUCCGCGCCGCAUUAGCUAGUUGGUAAGGUAACGGCUUACCAAGGCAACGAUUCGUAGCCGACCUGUGAGGGUGAUCGGCCACACUGGAACUGAGACACGGUCCAGACUCCUACGGGAGGCAGCAGUAGGGAAUCUUCCGCAAUGGGCGAAAGCCUGACGGAGCAACGCCGCGUGAGUGAUGAAGGUCUUCGGAUCGUAAAACUCUGUUAUUAGGGAAGAACAAAUGUGUAAGUAACUAUGCACGUCUUGACGGUACCUAAUCAGAAAGCCACGGCUAACUACGUG
rnacentral:rRNA from 1 species